rnacentral:rRNA from 1 species
UACGUAGGGGGCAAGCGUUGUCCGGAUUUAUUGGGCGUAAAGAGCUCGUAGGUGGUUCGGUAAGUCGGAUGUGAAAUCUCCAGGCUCAACCUGGAGGGGUCAUUCGAUACUGCCGUGACUAGAGUUCGGUAGGGGAGUGUGGAAUUCCUGGUGGAGCGGUGAAAUGCGCAGAUAUCAGGAGGAACACCCGGUGGGAAGGCGGCACUCUGGGGCGGUUCUGACACUGAGGAGCGAAAGCGUGGGGAGCGAACAGG